UCCGACGUUUUCGGAGACGUCCAUUUUUUUCAUGCUUUGUGGCAGCUUUUGAACAUCUGUGGCAUCUAUUAAUGUCAAAUCUAGCCUUUAUUUAACAACAUAAGCAAACUCUAUGUUACAAUGAUUGCACAGCCAUUAAGGAUCAAAUCAGUUUCUGAAAAAUGUUCUGUUUUUUCUCCCUCUGCUUGCUUCUUACUGUCUUUGAGGCUCGGGACCAGCACUCCUGUUGUUGGACAGAAAGACAUCAACUCAGUGACUUGAGAUAUGACUGCACUAUGCUGUUGCUGGUGACUCCAGUUAAUUCUACAAGACAUGCUGUGACACCAGGAGAGAUGAGUCCUCCGUCACAGAUGGUGUGGUCAGUGAAGAUGGUCGCCUGCAGGUUCAAGCUCAUUGCAUCUCCAACCCACAUCCACUGCCACUGUACUUAAGGGAAGUUAAAGACUUUCUUCUGCACCUACAUUUGGAUCACCUCGAUCCAUGAUAGUCAUUCAGGCAGUAAUGCCUGGACUGGAAACAAGCCAUCCUUAAAAUAUUACAACAUUCCAGCUCAUGUGUUGGAAUGCAAAACAAAUGUGUU